CUACUUGAAGAGAAGCGUCAAGAGAAGUCAAGACUCGGCAAGACCGGGAAAAUUUGGUCUUUUUUAGUCUUUGCUCUAUUCUCGUUACACGACAACGAGCAAAGAGGGGCAGCUGUACAAAGCCUAAAUUUGCCUCAACCCAACAAACUAAAUUAAACCCAAAAAACUGCAAGCCCAAACCCAAUACAUCAAUUACCCUAGCCCAUGUUCAAAAAAAAAAAAAGAACAAGUAGCAGCAACCCUAGGUGCGUGGCACCUAGGGUCUUCAGCCACCAACCUGCCGC
rnacentral:lncRNA from 1 species